rnacentral:rRNA from 1 species
AACGAACGCUGGCGGCGCGCUUAACACAUGCAAGUCGAACGAGAAGGCGUAGCAAUACGCUUGUACAGUGGCGAACGGGUGAGGAAUACAUGGGUAACCUACCCUCGAGUGGGGGAUAACCCGCCGAAAGGCGGGCUAAUACCGCGUACGCUUCCGAUCUUGCGGGAUUGGAAGGAAAGCUGUCCCUUGGGGAUGGCGCUCAAGGAUGGGCUCAUGUCCUAUCAGCUUGNGGUAGGGUAACGGCCUACCAAGGCAUCGACGGGUAGCUGGUCUGAGAGGACGAUCAGCCACACUGGCACUGCGACACGGGCCAGACUCCUACGGGAGGCAGCAGUGAGGAAUAUUGCGCAAUGGGCGAAAGCCUGACGCAGCGACGCCGCGUGGGGGA